CUCCAGCUUUCCAAGGCUCAUCGCGGUGCUGCGAAGGCUGACAGAGCGCCAGCCGGGAGCAGGCAGAUGGUGCUGGGAGCGGGUGUGGGCCAAGUCGGGGUGGGCAGGCCCUGCCAGAAUCUGCACAGAGCAGCAGCUCCACGAGGAACGGGCUGGCCUGCUGACCUCAGAGCACCUCUAGAGGACGUUCUGGCUCAUUCCUGCCCUGCCAGAGGCUCUGACCUGUGUCCUUGGGGCUGCUCAGCAGAGGUCGUGGUCCACGCCGAGGCCUGCUCCUGUUGCUUAGCAGGCGUGCCCACCUCAGCCCCACACAAACCGUCGCUGCUGCUGUGCGGCCCUCAGCAACCUCAGAGGAGGAGCCUGGGCAGCACGAGAAGUGGACCUCAGGACACACUCUCACUCUGUGUGGCCAAUCCUGACAGCAAUGCCACCUCGAGCUCUGGGAGGGGAGAAGUCAGCAGUGUAUCCCUCGCAACUCCAGCUCCUGGAUGUUCUCAACGUGUGGAGUGAGCGCCUUCGUUCCCGCUAACCUGUGGGCAUUUCUGCAGUCCUAAGAUAAGGUGAAAAACCCCUGGGAGUCACACCUGGCCACAGAGCAUCACCUGACAGCCGCCAGCCAGGACUCUUGGGUUCAGAAGGAGUGACAGUGAGCUGGCAGACGGCCACCCCCAGAGAGUCUCUCCUGGAUGCCUGGUCCCCGAGUGUGCUGCCUGUGUGGAGGGGCUGCUGGAAGCUGGGGUGGUGCACACCGUGCAGAGAUGGGCAUUCCCAGGGGCAGGCCCACUUCAGCAGCACCUGCUGACCCCUCUACCAGAGUCAGCCCCGAGGGCAUGGGCCAGGGAGACCCGGAUAGAACCAGGGAAACCUGUCAGCACAUGCAUGACUAACCUUCUCUGUCUUGGCCUGUUCCCAAGUCCCAGUUGUGUGUUUUUAGCAUAACAUGCUGUGAGAGGGGACAGCCCAGAGCCUUGUGGUGGCUUUCUUGAUGCCACCAGUACUUACAACAGCCAUUCAGUGAACAGACUAAACCAAGUACAAACAUGCCUUUGGACGCCCUGGCGAGACUGGCACUCAGACCCAAGUGGGCCAGUACUUAGCAUAAGACGAAGUGUGUUGAGCAGAACCAUUGAAAUCAGCACAACACACCAGGCCAACACUCCACGCCGGCACCUGGCCUCUGCAGCAGCCCAGCUUCACAGACAAGCAUAGAUCAGACGCAUCCCUCAGAAAAUGGUUUCAUUUAUAACCAAUACUGUCACCAAAGUGCACUUGGAGUCAUAGGUAUGUUGCAAAAGAGGAAAAACCAAACCCCAAACCAAACUCUCCUAUGGAAGUGGCUGCUGUGGUCUGCAAGCUUGGGACCCCCCUUGAAAACCCCCAUGAUGCUGUCCCAGCCCACAUGGUGACGGUGUUCAGCUUAGGUCAUGAGGACAUAGCCCUCACGAAUGGGACUAGUGCCCUUCCAAAGGAGGCCCAAGAGCGCUCCCUUACCCUUCCUCCGGUGAAACAGCAGAUGCCCGCCAUCUUGAAGUAGACAACUGGACUGCACCAGAAUCUCUAGCACCCCUUGAUCCUGAACUUUCCAGCCUUCAGGGACACACAAAGCAGACUUUGUUGUUUAUAAGCCACACAUCAGUGACAGUUUGUUAUAGCAACUGAAAUCAAAAUAGGACAGAAAUUCGGUACUGUUGUAAUUUGGGUAUGAGGUGUGGCCCAAAAUCGCCUGUGUUGAUGCAGGAAUGUUCAGAGGUGAAAUGGUUGGUCGUGAGGUCUGUGACCUAUCAGUCCAUCCUGCUUUGAAUGGACCAACUGGGUGGCAGCCAUAGGCAGGUGAGGUGCGGCCAGAGGAACUGGGUCCUGGGGCUAUGCCCAGGGGGAGGGGGCUAUGCCCAGGGGGAGGAGACUAUGCCAGGGGGAGGGCAGCUUCCUUGGAGCCCCUAGCGCUGUUUCUCUCUGCUUCCCGGAUGCCCUGCACGGAGCAGCUGCCCUCCACCACACUUUUUGCCAUGAUGUUCAAAGAGCCCAGCAAACCACGGACUGACCUCUAAACUGUGAGCCAAGAUCAACUUUCCCUCCUCUAGGUCAUUCCUCUCAGGCCUUUUAGUCACAGUGACACAGGACACAUAUUUACCAAGGGUGGGGUCCUGCUGCAGCCAAUAGUUAGAAGUGUGGAAGCAGCUCUGGAACUUGGUGACGUAGGGAGUAGAAGCAUCCAGAGAUGCAUUCUAGGUCAUGACUAGAGCAUUCGGGGCGAUUCUGGUGAGGGGGCAGGAGUGUGGGAGAGCUGUGGAGGAAGGCCAGGCUCCGUGGACAGUAUCUGUGAACAGAAUGCAAACUACAGGUGGAAAGGCCAUUCUGCUGAGGUCUCCUAUGGAAACAGGAACCACGCUGGUGGAGAAGGGAGGAGGACCUGUGACCCUUGCUAUGUAAAGGCCAAUGGCUGGCUGCAGUGUGUCCAUAUAUCUGCGCUGUGUGACAGGUAGAACCUGAGAGUGGUAACUGAGAAUUGGCUGAAGAAAUUUCUAAGAGAGUGUUGAAGGAGGGUCUGGUUCCUCUUGACUGCCUUUAGUGAAAUGGGAGAAAACAGAAAUACCCUGGAGACAGAAGUGUCAAUCAAAAGGGAGCAGAACUCUAAAAUCUGGAAAAUCCUCGCCCAUCCAUGGGAAAAGGAGGACAUCUGCUCAGGAGGAAAUAGGGUGUGUGUGGCCAUGUCAUAGGGAGAUUAGUGUGGGUCAGCAUCUAAAGGGAAGCCAGGAAUUACUGGUCAAGACAAGGGAAGACUGACCCCCCGGCACUUCAGAAUCUAUCAUGGCCUCCCUCCUCAUCACAGACCCAGAAUGCAGGGCCUCAGGCCGAGCCAGGGCCAAGCUGCCCGGCCCUGCCUCACCCUCACACCAGGCCCACCCUCUGCUCUGCCCUGAGCACUCCUGCUGCACAGCGCAGCUCUGGAGGGCAGUUGCAGUGAGCAUGUUGUGCAGCAGAGCUGUAGGGGCAAGGGCACCUGAGAGGUUGCUGAGACCCAGGCACAGACCACCCCAGGGAUGGGGCCACUGAAGGAAGCCCCCACUAGGACAAUGUCAAGUAGAUUCAUGGGAGUGGGAGCCCUAGGGUUCAGACAUCUGCAUGGCAAAGCUGAGGGCAUGCACCCCCCACCUAGUGGGCCUGGAGGACAGAGCAUUGAGCCACAGUUUCCUGUCAUUCCUUCUUCCCUCCCUGUUCUUGCUUCUGGAAUGGGAAUGUCUGGCCCAUACCGGUCCCACUGUUGUGAUUGGCAGCACAUAGCAUGCUCCAUAUCACCAUCUGGAGGGGAAUUCUCCCAGGAUGAAACACCUUGGACUCUCAGCCACAUUUGAUGAGAUGAGAUGCUGGACUUUAGACUUUGGAGUUGAUUUUGGAAUGAUCAAGGCUAUUUGAGCCAUCAGGAUGGAAUGAAUGAAUCUUGCCCAUGAGAAGAACAAGAAUCAGGCAUCAGAGAGGCAGGGACGGAAUGCUACAGUCUGAAUGGGUGUAUUCCUCAAAACACAUGCUGGAACGUAAACCCUAGAUGAUGGUGGCUAUCAGGAGGGAGGCCGUUGGGAGGAGUUCAGCCACGAGGGUCUGCCACUGAAUGGGGUGGAUGUUCACAUGAAGGAGGCUUCAGAGAGAGUCCUCUCCUGCCCUGCCUUCUGCCAGGUGAGGGCACAGCAUUUGUUCCUUCAUUCUGCUAUUCCUUCUCCUGCUACAUGAGAACACAGCAACAAGGACCCAUCUUGGAGGCACGGAACACCCUCACCAAACACUGAAUCUCUUGGUAACUUGAUUUGGGAUUUUCCAGCCUCCAUAACUAUGAGAAAUAAAUUUCUAUUAAUUACAAAUUACCUAGUCCAAGACGUUUUGUUCUACAGCAAUGUGGGACUAGGACAGUUAUUUUAAUGUUUCAUAAAAGCAGUAUUUAGGGAACUAAGUUUCCUAAGGUUCACAAUAUAAUUUGGAAGUGGGCUAUUUACCACCAACAGUGGAAGAAGGGGGACAGAUGUCUCCCUGAGCGUUGGAAAAAACCUUGCAAUCUGGUUAUUGCUAUCCAGGAUCCUCUGUAAGAACAUAUAUAAGAAAUCACAGGCCAGUGAGAGCAUGCCAAGAUUCAGUCCUGCCCCCAAGGGCUCUGACCCAGGGAGACACAUCCACACUCAGGUCUAUGUGGAUGUGACCUCAGGUCCAUGUGGAAGCAUCCUCUGGUCUAUGUGGAUGUGACCUCAGGUCUAUGUGGAUGUGACCUCAGGUCUAUGUGGAUGUAACCUCUGGACUAUGUGGAUGUAACCUCUGGACUAUGUGGAUGCGUCCUCUGGUCUAUGUGGAUGUGACCUCAGGUCCAUGUGGAGGCGUUCUCUGGUCUAUGUAGAUGUGUCUUCAGGUCUAUGUGGAUGUGACCUCAGGUCCAUGUGGAUAUGUCCUCAGGUCUAUGUGGAUAUAACCACUGGACUAUGUGGAUGCGUCCUCUGGUCCAUGUAGAUGUGACCUCAGGUCUAUGUGGAUGCGUCCUCAGGUCUAUGUGGAUGUGACCUCAGGUCUAUGUGGAUGCGACCUCAGGUCUAUGUGGAUGUGUCCUCAGGUCUAAGUAGAUGUGACCUCAGGUCUAUGUGGGUGUGGUCUCAGAUGUAUAUAGAUGUGUCCUCUGGUCUAUGUGGAUGUGUCCUCAGUCCUAUGUGGAUGUGGCCUCUGGUCUUAGAAUAAGGGAGCCCUCUUGGUCCUUUGGGCUUCACCUAAAAGUGCAGUGGAAUACAGCAGCUUGGGAACUCUGAGUACUAAUAAAGCCCGUUCACACCCAGGGUGGGAACCUCCAUGUCCUGGUUGGAAAGAAGUCUUCAAAUCUGCCCAGAGGCAAGCUUGGGCCAUGUGUGCCCAGUGCACUUGGGGUGUCUCAGUCAGAGUUUUCCUUUCUGUGGCCAGAAAGCAUAACAGGAACAAUUAGAGGAGGAAACCUUUAUUUGGGGGCUCACAGUUUCAGAGGUCUCAGUGCAUAGACAGUGGCUCUGCUCCUCGGGGCUCGAGGAGAGUCAGGACAUCAGGGCAGAAUAGGGGCAGAGGGAAGCAGAGAGCCUAGCUUAGCUCACCAAAUACACACCAAAAGACAUACCCUCAGCGUGGCUCCUCCAGCCACACCCACCAGCCUCCAGUUACCACUCAGUCAAUCCUACCAGGGGGUUGAUUCCCUUAUUGUUAAGGCUCUUACAACCCAAUGAGUUCACCUCUGAACUUCUUGCAUUGUCUCACCAGGAGCUUUUCAGGGGACACGUCACAUCUGAUCCCUAACAGGAGGAACAGAUGUUGUUCACAUAAAGUCUCUGCAUGUCCACGGACACACAGAGCAAAGGACCAAGGCUUUGUCCAUUCGGAGCGCUUCCGGAGUGCCAAAUUGACCCUAGGCCUUCACCACAGGCCGUGCACCAGGGCUCUCGGGAAGUACCCCAGCCUCAUGUGGCGCACUUGAUCAGAAGUUCCCAGGAGACACUCCUCCUCACACAGGACUCAGGCCCCGGACCUGCUAUAAGGAAAUGCAGCGUGAGUCUUCACCGCACAGAAGUGCCACGGGCCCCUCUCACUGCGGGGAGCAAUGCAAGAGCAGCUGGCUGAGCCAUGGUGCGUCCAGGGCUGGACCCCUGGCCAAAUGAGACCCGGCUCUCUUCUGCAUGAAGAUCCCUCAAACCAUCACAGAAGGCCACACAGCCAGUUUCUCCUGGAAGAGACAUCAGCCGAGGCGGGUCUGUCAUUUAGAAGAUGUGGCGGGGAUGUCCCCUGCCUCCUGCAGCAAGGUUCAUCCUGCAGAGGGGAGAAGCAGGUGGAGUUUCCUCUUCCUGCCUGCCUCACCCCUGCCCUCCGCAGCCUCAGUCCUCAUGUGGCACGCCCAAGGCAUGCUCCGUGACACCCUGGGACUCCACUGCUCUCUCUCUGCAGCUCUUGGCACACGGCACACGUGGGCACCCCAGCGAGGGCUGGUUCCUGGAGGCGGAGAAGCUUUCCACCAGCCUGCUGGGGUGCAGGUGGCAGAGCCAGCCCAGCAGGGCAUCUCCCAGCGAGGCUCAGAGUGAUCAUCCACCUGUCAAGUUUCUGGGUGCCUCCCUGGGAGUGGGCUCCAGAGAGUGGCCUCUGGAGAUUCCCCUUCCUCUGUUCCUUGGGGCCUCCUUUUCCCUCUCUUUUCCUCUCUGGAUGGUGGCAGCUGAAUCUAAAGGGCAGGAAUCCAAGGGAAGGACAAGCCAGCAGCCUCCUCCCACUCUAGGCGCUUCUUCAAGAGAAUCCACCUCUUGGAGUCUUCUCACAACCUCUCAGCCCGGAACCUCCUCCCCAGGGCCUGUGCCAGGGCCUGACCUGCUCCUUAAACCCGUGGCACCAGGACUCCCCACUGCAGGGAUGGGGAAGGCACAGUCUUGGAGCCUCUCCACUCCCUACCCCUCCUCUAAUGGUAGCUGGGAAGGUGAAUGGCAUCUGUCAAGGAGCAAUUGGUCCCUUCCCGUGGCAGGGACCUGAGCACUGUGCUGGGAGCGCCCUGAGCUCCUGCCCCAGCCUGCAUUGCCUCUGAGUCUGGGUCAGGGAGAGCCUGUCCAGCCGUCCUUGCUGUCCUGGGAGCUCCUGCUCGCCCUGCCGUCUCCCCAGGGCUGAGUCUCAGCUCCUCAGACACCUGACCCCCCGAGGCUGCCUGAACAUCUCCAGGCUGGUGGCUUCACCCCAGAGUGGCUGAGCCAGAGGCCCUGUAGCCAGACUCACCUGCAGGGCCACCAUGGAGUUGCAGAGUACUCUCCGGCCACAGCAGACAUUGGCUGGGUUCCCACAGGUGACCAACAGGUGGACAAGGCUCACCGAGGACCCCUGCUGUUGGGGUAGUGGUGGACCCACCCUGUUCCCGGUCUCCAGCCAGCACCUGCCACCUCUGGUACAGUGGACAUGAGCACAUCCCCAAGCUUAGGGCAGUGAACCCAACCCCACAGCAGUCUGCCUGACUACACCCCCACUCCCUCGUCAGUCGGCCACUACAGUAAUGGGGACACCCACUCCAGAGGCCAGCUUGAAUUUGCUCCUGGAUGCCACUGGACUCUGAUGGACACAAACCGCCACUUGUCGGAUUGCUAUGUUCUGUACCCUGGACGCGGGGUCUUGGAAGAGUAAGAGGCGUUGCCAGAGUUCAGGGCUGGCCCAUCUUCACCAGGAUUCAGGGGCUUCAUUUGUACAAGGAAAUCUCUGUCCCUCUCCAUGUGCUGAGAAUCCCAUGUGUGCGUGCGUGUGCGCGCUCAGGUAUGCCUGUGUGUGCACCUGCAAGUGUGUGAUUGCAUGCGUUUUCUGUGCACACACGUAUAUGUGUGAGCACGUCUUGUUCACAUGUUUGCACAGGCACAUGACAAACAUAUGUGCAUGUACAAGUGUGAGCACACACGUGUUCUUGCCUGCAUUUGUGCAGUGUUUGUGGAUUGGGUGGUGGGGUGCUGGGGCAGGCUGCUCCUGUGACUGGAACUCUGGGCCCGGCCCUGGGCCAGGUGACCCUGGAGCCAGCGCCCCGCCUGCAAGACUCCUUUAUGACCUACUCAGCAGUCACAUCUAUGUCGCCAGCCCAGCUGAUCUUCAGCCAAACCUGCCAAAGAGCCAAAGGCAUCACCUCCACACUUUCCAAAGGAUGGACAAGGCCCAGCGUUUUUGUCAACCAUCAGUCAACAAAUGAAAGAAAAGUUGAGGAGUAGAAUGGUGUCGACUCUCGACUUCGCCCCACAUGACCAAGGCUGAGGUCCAGCUUUUCCAAGCAUCUACCUGUGAUGCACAGCGGGUUGGACUGUAAGGGUAAAAGAAAUUGAAGUUAAAAUGUAAAAGACCGGGCAUUGUAAAGUUCCUAAGCUGCAAGGCCUGAGUUAAAAAGUGAAGGACUAGGUAUUGUUAAGUUCCUCUGCUACACCCAGAAAUUCCUGAGGCCAUUUAGUUGAUUAAUAGCCUAGGGCCCUGUGCGAUCUUGCACGUAGGCAGUAGGCAUCGCAGGGCCUAAACCAAUCAGUUUGAAUGUACCUCCCCCCCUUAGAACUGACCUAUCACUCCCGCCCAACCUGUUCCCGCCAAUGAAUGAACUAAUCAUGUUUAGGAGUUGUUGUUUGAUUUUCCCGCGGUGUAUGAUGAUUUGUUAAAGGAGACUGUGAUGUAUGUAAAGUCCCCGCCCUCCCAAAAAAGUGUACUUAAGCACUGCUCAACUCCUGCUCUGGGCUCUGGGCUGCUCUUCUUUCUGAGUGAGCACGGAGCCCCAGUGCGCUGGAUUGGAUCCUCAAUAAACCCCUUUUGCUGUUGCAUGA